GCAAGUCUACAAGAAAAUAACUUCGGUUAUAAGUAAAGUGGCGGACGGGUGAGUAACGCGUGAGAAACGUACCCAUAAGUAUGGGAUAACUGUUCGAAAGGACAGCUAAUACCGUAUAAGUUGUUUUAUCACAUGGUAGAAUAAUGAAAACUUCGGUGCUUAUGGAGCGUCUCGCGUACCAUUAGCUAGUUGGUAGGGUAAUGGCCUACCAAGGCGACGAUGGUUAACCGGCCUGAGAGGGUGAAC
rnacentral:rRNA from 1 species